CCUCAGAGUUCUAAGGUGGCCCUCCGUACUCUUUGGUCUGUACUCAGCUGGAGGACUUUGUGACACUUCUUAGGGAAGGGAUGUGCUAACAGGCGGGCAGGACACACCUUCACAAGAAAGCAAGAGAGCCAUGUUCAGCCUCACCCACGGGAAGUUUGACUCGGUUGACUCAGCCAAGCCACAGAGGUCGGCAAAGCCUCUCUGCAGUGGUUCCAGGCUGUCCUGGAAGACAGUGCGGUCCAUCCAGACAUGCUGUCACUGUUCCCGCUGUUAACUCUGGCGAUCCUUGGGGCUUACAGUGUGUAUGGUGCAGGUCAUCUAGAGCAACCGCAACUGUCCAGUACCAAACAGCUGUCAAAAACAGCCCGCCUGGAAUGCGUGGUAUCCGGUGUCACAAUUUCUACAACGUCUGUGUAUUGGUAUCGAGAAAGGCCCGGUCAAGCCGUGCAGCACCUGCUGCACGUUUCAGCUGACAACACCGUCAGCGUGGAAUUGGGCAUUAGGCCGGGCAAGUUUGAGGCAGACAAGACGCCUGACACUUCGACGUCUACCCUCACCAUUCACAGUGUAGGCGAACAAGACGCGGCCACCUACUACUGUGCCCUCUGGGAUGGCAGGACAAUCAAAGUGUUUGGUUCUGGCACACGGCUCAUUGUUACAGACAGAAAGCUUGAUGCAGACAUGGCCCCCAAGCCCACUAUAUUUUUCCCUUCGAUUGCUGAAAUAAACCUCGAUAAGGCUGGAACACAUCUUUGUCUUCUGGAAAAUUUUUUCCCCGAUGCUAUUAAGGUACAUUGGAAAGCAAAGGACAGCAAUACAGUUCUGGAAUCCCAGCAGGGAAACACCAUCAUGACGAAUGAUACAUACAUGAAAUUCAGCUGGCUGACCGUGCCUGAAAAGUCAAUGGAUACAGAACACAUAUGUGUGGUCAAACAUGAGAAUAACAAAGGCGGAAUUGAUCAAGAGAUUCAUUUUCCUCCAAUUAACCAAGAGGACAGUACAAAGCCUUGCCUGAAAAAAGAAAGUG